rnacentral:sRNA from 1 species
CACACACCUGGGGAAUUGCUGGCCUGACCUCUGACCCCUGACUCCUCAUACCCUUCCUCCAGAGCAUGACAUUUGACCACCAACUGAAACCUGACCUCUGACCCCAGACCACUGGCCCUUCCCCCACCCUGUGGUGACUUCAUAAAGGUUACUAGCUUCUCCCCUGGCCUUGAGACCCACACGAUGGCCCUGCUGGCCCUGGCCAGUGCCGUCCCGUUUGCCCUGCUGGCCGUUGCUGUCUUCAGGGUGCCCGCCUGGGCCUGUCUCCUCUGCUUCACAACCUACUCUGAGCGCCUCCGCAUCUGCCAGAUGUUUGUUGGGAUGCGGAGCCCCAAGCUUGAAGAGUGUGAGGAGGCCUUCACGGCCUCCUUCCAGGGCCUCUCUGACACCGAAAUCAGUGAGGAGACCAUCCACACUUCAUCAGUGUCCUGGGGAAGGUGCAGAGGGAGGGCCGGAGAGGCCCAGAGGGUCAGGCUGAGGGACAGACAGAGAGAAACAGUCAGAGGAGAAAGGCUCAAAGACCAUGAGAACAACAGAGACUUAGGGACAGAGAGACACAGACAGGGGAAGACAGCAGGGCAAAGACUCAGAGAGGGGAGGAUGGAGAGUCAGAGAGGGGAGGAUGGAGACUCAGAGGGGAGGAUGGAGACUCGGGAGGAUGGAGACUCAGAGAGGGGAAGAUGGAGACUCAGGAGGAUGGAGAGUCAGGAGGAUGGAGACUCAUAGAGAGCGGAGGAUGGAGAGUCAGGAGAGGAUGGAGACUGGAGAGGGAAUAGAGACCCAGUGAGGGGAGGAUGGAGACUCAGAGGGGGGAAGACAGAGACUCAAAGAGGGUGGAAACCCAGAGAGGUGAGGAUAGAGAUGAGGCAGAGACUAGGGGAAGCAGGAUAGCAACCGGUCGGGGGGCAGAGACUCAGGGAGGAUAGAGACUCACAGAGAGGUGAGGAUAGAGACUUGGGAGGGACUCAGGAAGCAUAGCGACUGUGGGGCAGAGUCAGAGAGGGGAGGAUACAGACUUGGGAGGGCAGAGACUCAGAAACAGAAUGUUCCCAUUAGGGACAUGGUGUUGCGGGGAGCUGCCUCCCCCAGCCCCUGCUCCCUCCCUUACCGCCAGACUAUGAUGAGAGAAGCCACCUGCAUGACACCUUCACCCAGAUGGCCCAUGCCCUGCAGGAGCUGGCUGCUGCCCAGGGAUCCUUUGAGACUGCCUUCCCUGAUGCUGCGGAGAAAAUGAAGAAGGUCAUUACACAGCUUAAAGAAGCCCAGGCUUGCAUCCCUCCCUGCGGUCUCCAGGAGUUCGCCCGGCGUUUCCUCUGCAGCGGGUGCUACUCUAGGGUCUGCGACCUCCCGCUGGACUGCCCAGUUCAGGAUGUGACAGUGACUCGGGGCGACCAGGCUAUGUUUUCUUGCAUCGUGAACUUCCAGCUGCCAAAGGAGGAGAUCACCUAUUCCUGGAAGUUCGCAGGAGGAGCUCCGGACUCAGGACUUGUCCUAUUUCCGAGAUAUGCCGCGGGCCGAAGGAUACCUGGCGCGGAUCCGGCCGGCUCAGCUCACGCACCGCGGGACGUUCUCCUGCGUGAUCAAGCAAGACCAGCGCCCCCUGGCCCGGCUCUACUUCUUUCUUAACGUGACGGGCCCGCCCCCGCGGGCGGAGACAGAGUUGCAGGCCUCGUUCCGGGAGGUGCUGCGCUGGGCGCCGCGGGAUGCCGAGCUGAUCGAGCCCUGGAGGCCCAGCCUGGGCGAGCUGCUGGCCAGGCCCGAGGCUCUGACGCCCAGCAACCUAUUCCUGCUUGCAGUCCUCGGGGCCCUCGCAUCAGCGAGUGCGACAGUGUUGGCGUGGAUGUUCUUUCGAUGGUACUGCAGUGGCAACUAACAAAGAUAUCUCUUUCCUCCUUCCCUAUCCUAUUUCCAUCCUGAAAAUAAAGAAUAUAUUUCGACUGUA